UACGUAGGGUGCAAGCGUUGUCCGGAAUUAUUGGGCGUAAAGAGCUCGUAGGCGGUUUGUCGCGUCUGCUGUGAAAACCCGAGGCUCAACCUCGGGCCUGCAGUGGGUACGGGCAAACUAGAGUGCGGUAGGGGAGAAUGGAAUUCCUGGUGUAGCGGUGGAAUGCGCAGAUAUCAGGAGGAACACCGAUGGCGAAGGCAGUUCUCUGGGCCGUAACUGACGCUGAGGAGCGAAAGCGUGGGGAUCGAACAGG
rnacentral:rRNA from 1 species